rnacentral:rRNA from 1 species
GACGAACGCUGGCGGCGUGCCUAAAACAUGCAAGUCGAACGGUCAGCCUGUGGGCUGGCCGUGGCGGACGGCUGAGUAACACGUGGGUGACCUGCCUCCAUGCGGGGGAUAACUGCCCGAAAGGGUGGCUAAUACCGCGGAUGUCACGGCUUCGGUGGUGUGACUAAACUCGCUUGCUGACACAAGCGGGGUGUGGAGAGGGGGCCCGCGGCCGAUUAGCUGGUUGGUGAGGUGACGGCUCACCAAGGCGACGAUCGGUAGCUGGUCUGAGAGGAUGAUCAGCCAGACUGGGACUGCGAGACGGCCCAGACUCCUACGGGAGGCAGCAGUUAGGAAUUUUGGGCAAUGGGCGAGAGCCUGACCCAGCAACGCCGCGUGGGUGACGAAGGCCUUCGGGUCGUAAAGCCUUUCCGGGGACGAUGGUGACGGUACCUCGGGAAGAAGCCCGGCUAACUACGUG